GCACUCACUUUGGCAGCGCAUAUGCUAAAAUUGGAAUGACACAGAGAAGUAGCAUGGCCCUUGCACAAUAGUGACCCCUACAUUCAUUAAGUACUCUAUAUUUUC
ensembl:snRNA U6 U6 spliceosomal RNA